CUUCGGGAAAAUUCUCUUCAGCAACACCACCAUUUUCCUGAGAUUUGAAGGGGAUGAAAAAGCUUGUGACCCCUCCCAAAGUUUCAAUGUUACUUGGUACUUAAGAUAUUCUGACUGCUACAAUGAAGUUUUCAACUUUGGGGAUGAACAAGCAGAUAACUAUUUUGGGACUACAGCUGAAGAGCAUCCGGGUUGGUCAGGAUACUAUGCCACUUCUUCUCUCAUCUUUCCAAACUGCUCUGAGCUCUUCAGGCCUCAGAUCUUCUAUAAAGAAUUUGUUCAUCCAGAACCUCUCUCACCUGAGAAACAGGAG
rnacentral:lncRNA from 1 species